UUUAGAGUUUGAUCCAUGGCUCAGGAUGAACGCUGGCGGCGUGCCUAAUACAUGCAAGUCGAACGAGGUGCCUUUGUAGCAAUACGAGGGUAUCCUAGUGGCGAACGGGUGAGUAACGCGUUGGUGACCUGCCCCAAAGUGUGGGAUAACAGUCCGAAAGGACUGCUAAUACCGCAUGUGGCCAUCGGGUUUAGAAGCCGAUGUCUAAAGCAGCAAUGCGCUUUGGGAGGGACCUGCGUCCCAUCAGCUAGUUGGUGAGGUAAUGGCUCACCAGGGCGACGACGGGUAGGGGACCUGAGAGGGUGGCCCCCCACAAUGGAACUGAAACACGGUCCAUACACCUACGGGUGGCAGCAGUAGGGAAUAUUGCACAAUGGGCGAAAGCCUGAUGCAGCAACGCCGCGUGCGCGAAGAAGGUCUUCGGAUAGUAAAGCGCUUUUCUGGGAGAUGAGAAAGGACAGAUCCCAGGAAUAAGUUCGGCA
rnacentral:rRNA from 1 species